GACAGAGGGUGCAAACGUUGCUCGGAAUUACUGGGCGUAAAGCGCGUGUAGGCGGACCGGUAAGUCGGGCGUGAAAUCCCUGGGCUCAACCCAGGAACUGCACUCGAAACUUCCGGCCUUGAGUGGUGGAGAGGGUAGUGGAAUUCCUGGUGUAGAGGUGAAAUUCGUAGAUAUCAGGAGGAACACCGGUGGCGAAGGCGGCUACCUGGACACCAACUGACGCUGAGACGCGAAAGCGUGGGGAGCAAACAGG
rnacentral:rRNA from 1 species